rnacentral:rRNA from 1 species
CGUACACGGCGUGGUGCCUUGGCAGUCAGAGGCGCUGAGAGUGCUAACCUGCCGAAAAGCUGUGAGAAGCGUUUAGAGACGUCUAGACGUCCAGAUGUCCGAAUGGGGAACCCAACCUGAUUUAUCAGGGUAUCGUAUGAUGAAUACCAUUAGUCAUACGGGCGAACCGGGAGAACUGAAAAUCUAAAGUUACCCCGAGGAAAAGAAUCAACCGAGAUCCCCUUAGUAGCGGCGGAGCGAAGGGGGCUAGCCCUUAAGUUGAUAGCAAGUGCAGUGGAUUUCAUCUGGGAAAUAUGAAGCGAUACAGGGUGAUAAGGCCCCGUUUACACGAAGCUUGUUAUUGAAUUUGAAACGAUGGACGGGACACGAGACAUCCUGUUUGAACAUGGGGGCCAUCCUCCAGGCUAAAUACUCUAUGACCGAUAGUGACCAGUACCGUGCAGGGAAAGGCGAAAAAGACCCCUGUUUAGGGUGGAAAUAGAACCCUGAAAACGUUGUUACGUACAAGCGUGGGAGCCUCUUGUGGGGUGAUGCGUACCUUUUGUAUAAUGGGAUCAGCGCGACUUUUACGUUUUGUAGCGAGGUUAAACCGAAUAGGGAGCGCGUAGGGAAACCGAGUCUUAACUGGAGCGGAAUAUGCAGCGUAGACCCGAAACCCGGCGAUCUAUCCAUGUUGCAGGUUUGAAGUUGGGGUAACCCUAACUGGAGGACCGAACCCACUAUGUUUGAAAUUAGGGGAUGACGUGUGGAUAGGGGAAAAGGCUAAUUCAAGGGCCGGGAGUUAUCUGGUUCUCCCUCGAAAAGCUAUUUAGUAGCGCUCUCGAGCGAAUACCAUUGGGGGGGUAGAGCACUGUUAAGGCUAGGGGGUCAUUCCCGACUUACCAACCCUUCAAAAUCGGGAAUACCAAUUUGAAGUACUUAACUCGGCGGAGCACAACGACGGGUGCUAACGUUCCGCCCGUGAAAAGGUAAACAACCCCAGACCACCAAGCUAAGGUCCCAAAGUCAUGGUUAAGUGGAAAACGAUGUGGGAGAAAGGCAUAGACAGCUAGGAGGUGGCUUAGAAGCAGCCACCCCUUUUAAGAAAGCGUAAUAGCUACUAGGUCGAGUCGGUUCUGCCGCGGAAGAUUUGUAACGGGUGGCUCCAAACCAUUGCACCGAAGCUUGGUGGACUUGCAUUAUGUGCAGGGUAGAGGAAGCGUUCUGUAAGCCUGCGAAGGUAGAUUGUGAGUCUGCUGGAGUAUCAGAAGUGCGAAUGCUUGACAUAAGUAACGAUAGGGAGUGAAAAAACUCCCCCGACCGGAAGACCAAGGGUUCUAUCCAGCUUAAUCAGCGGGUAGGGUAGAGUCUGCCCCUAAGGGCAGAUGGGCGAAAGCCGUAGUCGAUGGGAAAAACGGGUUACAUAUUCCCGUACCGAAGUACUGCGAAUGGGGGACGGAGAAAGCUAGGCCAAGCAUGGGCGUUAGUAGUCCAUGUGAAAUGUCGUAGGCAGGGGGAUUAGGCGAAAUCCGGUUCCCUAAUGCUGAGAUACGAGACGACGCCACCCACGUGGUGAGUUGCUGAUUGCUACGCUUCCAGGAAAGCCUCUAAGCUUUCAGGUACUGUUGACCGUACUCGAAACCGACACAGCAGGUGGGUCAGGUUAGAGAUACCAAGGCGCUUGAGAGAACUCUGGUGAAGGAAUAGGCAAAAUAGUUACCGUAACUUCGGGAAGAAGGUACGCUCUCUAAUGUGAAAGGAACUUGCUCUGUAAAGCAUCGGAGAGUGCAGGUGACUCAGCUGGCUGCAACUGUUUUAUUAACAAACACAGGCACUCUUGCAAACUCAGAGAGAGCGACGAUAUAGGGUGUGGGACACCUGCCCGGUGCCGGAAGUUUUAAUUGAUGGGGUAUUAGCGCAGCGAAGCUCUUGACGCAGCCCCGGUAAACGGGCGGCCGUAACUAUAACGUCCUAGGUAGCGAAUAUUCCUUGUCGGUAAGUUCCGACCUGCACGAAUGGUGUGUAUGAUGGCCAGGCUGUCUCACCAGAGACUCAGUGAAAUUGAAAUUGCCGGGUUGAAGAUUGCCGUUAUAACCCCGCGGCUUAGACGGAAAGACCCCUGUGACCUUUACUAUAGCUUGGCACUGACUGACCCUACAUUGUGUAGGUAGGUGGAGACUAUUUGAAGUUUGGGAACGCCCAGUUCUGAUGGGUCGUCUUGAAUACCACCUUGUAUGUUUUUGAUGUUCUAACGUAGGGUUCCCUUAUCGGACUGCGGGCAGUGUCUGGGUGGGUGUUUGGACUGGAGGCGGUCUCCUCCUAAGGUAACGGAGGAGACCACGAAGGUGGUAAGUACGGCUUCGGACAUCGGUACGGCUUAGUGCAAGGGCAGAAGCCAGCUUAACUGCGAGACAGGACACGUCGAGGCAGUGGUACGGAAAGUAGGUCUUUUUAGUGAUCCGGUGGUUCUGUAUGGGAAGGCCAUCGCUCAACGGAUAAAAAGGUUACUUCCGGGGAUAACAGGCUGAUACGCCCAAGAGUUCAUAUCGACGGCGGUUGUUUGGCAACUCGAUGUCGGAUCAUUCACAUCCUGGGGCUGAAGUCGUCCCAAGGGUAUGGCUGUUCGCAUUUAAAGUGGAUACGCGAGCUGGGUUUAGAACGUCGUGAGACAGUUCGGUCCCUAUUCUGCCGUGGGCGUUGGAUGAUUGAUUGGAGUUGUUCCUAGUACUAGGGACCGGACAGUGAAACGAACCCGCUUGGUGUUUCGGUGUUGUCCUGCCAUUGGCACUGCCGGUAGCUCGUCCGGAACGGAUAACGCUGAAAGCAUCUAAGCGGGAAGCCGGCCAAGAGAUUGAGGUAUUCCCUUGUGCUUGAGCACACAUAAGGGUCGUUUGGAGACCACAACGUUUGAAUCGGUGAAGGUGUGAAGCGUGGUGAACGUUAAGCUAACUCAUUACUAAUUGCCCGAUGAGGCUUAACA